rnacentral:pre_miRNA from 1 species
AAAGACUCAAUUCCUGGGUUUUCGUGUCCUACGUUUGACUGUUCGUUUUAUAUGAUUUUUUUAAUUAGUAUUUUCAUUGUUGUUAAAUGAUAAAACAUAAAUAAUACUUUAUGUGUGACUUAUUUUUUUAAUUUUUUUUCAUAAUUUUUUCAAAUAAGACGGACGGUCAAAUGUUGGACACAGAAACUCAGGAAUUGAGUUAUU